GUGCCAGCCGCCGCGGUAACACCGGCAGCUCAAGUGAUGGCCGAUUUUAUUGGGCCUAAAGCGUCCGUAGCCUGCCGUACGGGUCCGUCGGGAAAUCCGCCCGCUCAACGGGCGGACGUCCGGCGGAAACCAUACGGCUUGGGACCAGAGGACCCGAGGGGUACGUUGGGGGUAGGAGUGAAAUCCCGAGAUCCUCAACGGACCGCCGAUGGCGAAAGCACUUCGAGAAAACGGAUCCGACAGUGAGGGACGAAAGCUGGGAUCUCGAACCGGAUUAGAAACCCUAGUAGUCC
rnacentral:rRNA from 1 species